rnacentral:rRNA from 1 species
UACGGAGGGUGCAAGUGUUAUUCGGAAUCACUGGGCGUAAAGAGCACGUAGGCGGAUAGGCAAGUCAGAUGUGAAAUCCCGGAGCUCAACUCCGGAACUGCAUUUGAUACUGCCUGUCUUGAGUGAGGUAGAGGGGAGUGGAAUUCCCGGUGUAGAGGUGAAGUUCGUAGAUAUCGGGAGGAACACCAGAGGCGAAGGCGACUCCCUGGGCCUCUACUGACGCUGAGGUGCGAAAGCGUGGGGAGGCAAACAGGAUUAGAUA